rnacentral:rRNA from 1 species
AGCGUUGUUCGGACUGACUGGGCGUAAAGGGGGCGUAGGCGGUUUUUUAAGUGAGGCGUGAAAGCCCUGGGCUUAACCCAGGAAUUGCGUUUCAGACUGGAAAGCUUGAGUACGAGAGAGGUAAGUGGAAUUCCUAGUGUAGAGGUGAAAUUCGUAGAUAUUAGGAAGAACACCAGUGGCGAAGGCGGCUUACUGGCUCGUAACUGACGCUGAGGCACGAAAGCGUGGGGAGCAAACAGG